rnacentral:tRNA from 1 species
GUUCCUGUAGGAUAAUGGAUAAACCGGAUGGCUCCGGACCAUCAGAUACGCGUUCAAUUCGCGUCAGGAACA